rnacentral:rRNA from 1 species
GUGCCAGCCGCCGCGGUAAUACGGAGGGUGCGAGCGUUGUUCGGAAUUACUGGGCGUAAAGCGCGUGUAGGCGGCCUGCUAAGUCUGAUGUGAAAGCCCGGGGCUCACCCCCGGAAGUGCAUUGGAAACUGGUAGGCUCGAGUCCCGGAGAGGAGGGUGGAAUUCCUGGUGUAGCGGUGAAAUGCGUAGAUAUCAGGAGGAACACCGGUGGCGAAGGCGGCCCUCUGGACGGUGACUGACGCUGAGACGCGAAAGCGUGGGGAGCAAACAGGAUUAGAUACCCUGGUAGUCC